AUUGAACGCUGGCGGCGUGCUUUACACAUGCAAGUCGAACGGCAGCGCGGGCUUCGGCCUGGCGGCGAGUGGCGAACGGGUGAGUAAUACAUCGGAACGUGCCCAGUAGUGGGGGAUAGCUCGGCGAAAGCCGGAUUAAUACCGCAUACGACCUGAGGGUGAAAGCGGGGGAUCUUCGGACCUCGCGCUAUUGGAGCGGCCGAUGGCAGAUUAGCUAGUUGGUGGGGUAAAGGCCUACCAAGGCGACGAUCUGUAGCUGGUCUGAGAGGACGACCAGCCACACUGGGACUGAGACACGGCCCAGACUCCUACGGGAGGCAGCAGUGGGGAAUUUUGGACAAUGGGCGAAAGCCUGAUCCAGCAAUGCCGCGUGUGUGAUGAAGGCCUUCGGGUUGUAAAGCACUUUUGGCGGGAACGAAAAGGACUGUGCCAAUACCACGGUUCGAUGACGGUACCCGCAGAAUAAGCACCGGCUAACUACGU
rnacentral:rRNA from 1 species